UAGCCGUAAACGAUACUCGCUAGGUGUCGGCCACGGUGCGACCGUUGUCGGUGCCGUAGGGAAGCCGUGAAGCGAGCCACCUGGGAAGUACGGCCGCAAGGCUGAAACUUAAAGGAAUUGGCGGGGGAGCACAACAACGGGUGGAGCUUGCGGUUUAAUUGGAUUCAACGCCGGAAAUCUUACCGGGACCGACAGCAACAUGAAGGCCAAGCUGAAGACUUUGCCGGAUUAGCUGAGAGGUGGUGCAUGGCGUAGUCGUGU
rnacentral:rRNA from 1 species